rnacentral:rRNA from 1 species
CCUACGGGAGGCAGCAGUGAGGAAUAUUGGUCAAUGGACGCAAGCCUGAACCAGCCAUGCCGCGUGAAGGAUGACGGCCCUAUGGGUUGUAAACUGCUUUUGUACGGGGGUAAACGCAGAUACGUGUAUCUGUAUGAAAGUACCAUACGAAUAAGGAUCGGCUAACUCCGUGCCAGCAGCCGCGGUAAUACGGAGGAUUCAAGCGUUAUCCGGAUUUAUUGGGUUUAACGGGUGCGUAGGCGGUCGGAUAAGUUAGAGGUGAAAUCCCGGGGCUCAACUUCGGAAUUGCCUCUGAUACUGUUCGGCUAGAGAGCAGUUGAGGUAGGCGGAAUGUAUGGUGUAGCGGUGAAAUGCUUAGAGAUCAGACAGAACACCGAUUGCGAAGGCAGCUUACCAAGCUAAUUCUGACGUUGAGGCACGAAAGCGUGGGGAGCAAACAGGAUUAGAUACCCGAGUAGUC